UACGUAGGGUGCGAGCGUUGUCCGGAAUUAUUGGGCGUAAAGAGCUCGUAGGCGGCUUGUCACGUCGGUUGUGAAAGCCCGGGGCUUAACCCCGGUUCUGCAGUCGAUACGGGCAGGCUAGAGUUCGGUAGGGGAGAUCGGAAUUCCUGGUGUAGCGGUGAAAUGCGCAGAUAUCAGGAGGAACACCGGUGGCGAAGGCGGAUCUCUGGGCCGAUACUGACGCUGAGGAGCGAAAGCGUGGGGAGCAAACAGG
rnacentral:rRNA from 1 species